rnacentral:rRNA from 1 species
GAUGAACGCUGACAGAAUGCUUAACACAUGCAAGUCCACUUGAACUUCGGUUUGGGUGGCGGACGGGUGAGUAACGCGUAAAGAACUUGCCUCACAGAUAGGGACAACAUUUGGAAACGAAUGCUAAUACCUGAUAUUAUGAUUUUAGGGCAUCCUAGGAUUAUGAAAGCUAUAUGCGCUGUGAGAGAGCUUUGCGUCCCAUUAGCUAGUUGGAGAGGUAACGGCUCACCAAGGCGAUGAUGGGUAGCCGGCCUGAGAGGGUGAUCGGCCACAAGGGGACUGAGACACGGCCCUUACUCCUACGGGAGGCAGCAGUGGGGAAUAUUGGACAAUGGACCAAGAGUCUGAUCCAGCAAUUCUGUGUGCACGAUGAAGUUUUUCGGAAUGUAAAGUGCUUUCAGUUGGGAAGAAAAAAAUGACGGUACCAACAGAAGAAGAGACGGCUAAAUACGUG